CACGUAGGGUGCGAGCGUUGUCCGGAAUUAUUGGGCGUAAAGAGCUCGUAGGCGGUGUGUCGCGUCGGCCGUGAAAACCUGCAGCUUAACUGUGGGCGUGCGGUCGAUACGGGCAUCACUGGAGUUCGGCAGGGGAGACUGGAAUUCCUGGUGUAGCGGUGAAAUGCGCAGAUAUCAGGAGGAACACCGGUGGCGAAGGCGGGUCUCUGGGCCGUAACUGACGCUGAGGAGCGAAAGCGUGGGGAGCAAACAGG
rnacentral:rRNA from 1 species